AGGGGCGGCUCAAUACAUUCUGGGGCCUAAGGCGAAUCCAAUGAACGAGGCCUUUUUUUUUAAUAAUAUUUUUUUUAAUAAAUAUGAAAUACUUAAAAAAUAUAUGAAAAUAGAUAGCUAUCAAGUACACUAUUUCAAUAAAGAGAAACCUUUUUAAUUUAAUAUAAUUCUUGAAUGGAAGCACAUAAAAGUAAUUACUCUAAAUGAAGGGCCAUGAAACUGAUUAAAUAACUGAGAUAAUGCUUGACAAUAUUGUUUACCAUGUCAAGCAAGAGCCGAAUAGGAAAAGAUCAUCCCAUGGCACUUAAUGGUCAAGAUAAAGAAAAGAAUUUGUCCAUAAAGGUACCUCUCUAUAAGAGAAAGUAGGAUCAUUAUGGGAAAUUCACUCCAUCUAAUUAAUAAAAGUCCCGUCCCACCAUCUCCCCUUACAAGUGAGUAC
rnacentral:lncRNA from 1 species